rnacentral:rRNA from 1 species
UACAGAGGUCUCAAGCGUUGUUCGGAUUCACUGGGCGUAAAGGGUGCGCAGGUGGCUAGGUGUGUUAGGCGUGAAAGCCCGGGGCUUAACCCCGGAAUUGCACCUAAAACUACUUGGCUAGAGCAUUGGAGAGGGGAGCAGAAUUCAUGGUGUAGCAGUGAAAUGCGUAGAUAUCAUGAGGAAUACCAGAGGCGAAGGCGGCUCCCUGGACAAUUGCUGACACUCAGGCACGAAAGCGUGGGGAGCAAAAGGG